rnacentral:rRNA from 1 species
AACGAACGCUGGCGGCAUGCCUAACACAUGCAAGUCGAACGAACCCUUCGGGGUGAGUGGCGCACGGGUGCGUAACGCGUGGGAACCUGCCUUUAGGUUCGGAAUAACAGUGAGAAAUCGCUGCUAAUACCGAAUAAUGUCUUCGGACCAAAGAUUUAUCGCCUUUAGAUGGGCCCGCGUUGGAUUAGCUAGUUGGUGGGGUAAAGGCUCACCAAGGCGACGAUCCAUAGCUGGUCUUAGAGGAUGAUCAGCCACACUGGGACUGAGACACGGCCCAGACUCCUACGGGAGGCAGCAGUGGGGGGAAUAUUGGACAAUGGGGCGAAAGCCUGAUCCAGCAAUGCCGCGUGAGUGAUGAAGGCCUUAGGGUUGUAAAGCUCUUUUACCAGGGAUGAUAAUGACAGUACCUGGAGAAUAAGCUCCGGCUAACUCCGUGCCAGCAGCCGCGGUAAU